rnacentral:rRNA from 1 species
UACGUAGGGUGCAAGCGUUAAUCGGAAUUACUGGGCGUAAAGCGUGCGCAGGCGGUUUUUUAAGCCAGAUGUGAAAUCCCCGAGCUUAACUUGGGAACUGCAUUUGGGACUGGAAGGCUAGAGUACGGCAGAGGGGGGCGGAAUUCCACGUGUAGCAGUGAAAUGCGUAGAGAUGAUGGAGGAACACCGAUGGCGAAGGCAACCCCCUGGGCCUGUACUGACGCUCGAUGCACGAAAGCGUGGGUAGCAAACAGGGAUUAGAUACCC